rnacentral:snRNA from 1 species
GUGCUCUUCCGUAGCACAUAUCCUAAAAUUGGAAUGAUACAGAGAAGAUUAGCAUGGCCCCUGUGCAAGGAUGACAAGCAAAUCCGUGAAGCGUUCCAUAUUUUU